ensembl:lncRNA
UUACUGUUGUUUUCUAUAAAGUACGACCUGAACCUUCAUACCACAGCUGGCAGUGCAUGCUUGUGUGGUCACGGAUGAGAGGUUUUGACCCUAGAGCAAAAAAAAAAAGGGUGAAAGGCAAAGAGUAUAUUCACCAUGCUAGUUACAGCAGCUCAAAAUAACAUGCAGUUUAUUGCAUUGUUAGCUGGAGAACCUGUCAUGCUCACAAAAAGCUGAAGCAGCCUCCCCGUGUGGGACAAGUGGGCUGUUCAGAACAAUAGCAUGAAGCUUGCGCUUGAGAAACUGCUUUCCUCUCCUCCCCACCACCCUUUUGUUAUGACAUAAUCAUUCAUCUUGCUUUGGGUUUUCUCAAGCUAGUGAGUACAGAGGGGAACCAGAACUGCAACUAGCAGGAGCUAACUCCCUCCCUUCUUAGGUAACUGCAACAGUUCCUCUGAUGACAAGGCAAUUCCAGAUUAACCAGAUUUCCUUUCAAAUCCAGCGUGUGUCUGCUACAGCAACAGAGGCUGAGCCUGGCAAGUAACUCCUUAAAAUCCAAAGGCAGUCUCCUGCGCACCAAAGGGUACAAAAGGAGGAGGGAGGUUUAAUAAGCCAUGUUGGAUUUGCUCAGCCCGUCUGCUGUGGUGAAUUUCCAUGAGCAUAACGAGCUCACAAGGUUAGCCAUAGGUACAUCAGGCCUAAUUUCUUCCCAUCAAUGUCACAUUCCUUGGCGUAGCAUUGUGAAUCUCCCCAUUAUCCACUGAGGCCAUAUUCUUUCUUAGAUAUUUCCUUCCUUUGAUUCUUCUAGAGAACUGCCUCUUUCUUUUCAAUAUCUUUUACAGAGAUGAGACUGUUUCCAGAAAAUAGACCGAGCCUUCAUUCUGCAAAAGGGACCCUUUUGCAUAGCCACUUUGUUAGCCUUCCUUGUGGCUGAAUCAGAGCCAUCCAAAAGAAGCAAUACUGCAGUAUCUACGUGACAAGAGAAUACUUUCCUGCUUUGAAAAUGUAGUGACAGCAUCUUCAUUUCCCAGCCGUGGUUUUGCAGUAUACUGUGUCACUUCAUAGCAUUCCACCUGGCUGUAAAGGAAUGGUGAUGACAAGGGGCUUUCCAAAGAAAAUUCUGUGCUGCUUGUUGUGCCCAUGGAGAAAGACGAAAGUGAACAAGGCUUCGUCGGUGAGAAAAUUAAAGGAGGAUAAAUAGAGAGGUAGAAGAAAUCCAGAGGGCAGAGCUGCAGGCCAGAGGCAGCCCAGCUUCUCACAGUGUGCAGUCUGACAUUCUUGACUUGUGCAUUACAUGUACCAAUGGACAGAAAGAAAGCCUUAAAAAUAAACCAGGAAGAAGGAUCGGUGAUUCUAGCUGUGAGUUGAAUGUCAGCCUUUGUGUUAAACUAAAUGCACAAGGAAUACAUAAUUCAGAAUUCCCCAGUGGUUGUCCUGUUUUCCUGUAGAUGAGAAGAGGAUGCAGCCAGCAGGUCUGAUUCCAGAUGAGAUAAGAUUUUGUUAUAACAAAAGUAAUGGUUAAUGAGCACGUUCUCAUUUAAGUGAGUUAUCCACUACCACACACACACACACAAAAAGGUUCUGGCAGACAGGAAGGAAAGGCAUUACCCAAAAUGGUUUUCAGUGUUCUUAAGGAAAAAUCUUACGGUUCUUAUUUGCUAGUUUCUUGGCUUCUUCAUUAUGCAGUCCUUACUCGCAGCAAAACUCUAAUGUGCUGAAUGAAACACAGUCACAAACAGCAUUUGUCUAAAUAGACAGCACCGUAGUACCCGUUUGUUGAAAUCUGAUAUGAAACUUACUUCUAAAAUAUUCUACUUUGUGAGUAUGAAUAAGUACUAAUUUGACUCGGUAUAAAUAAUCCAUAAGUAUUUAGGAUAGACAUGAUUCAACACCAUAAGGAAAGGAAAACUACCACUUGACCACAUGUUUGGUCCUAAAUGGGACAAUGGGCAAUACAGCAUGAGAUUCUGCUGCUGAUCCUCUGGAAUGCAU